UCCGUAGGUGAACCUGCGGAGGGAUCAUUACAAGUGACCCCGGUCUAACCACCGGGAUGUUCAUAACCCUUUGUUGUCCGACUCUGUUGCCUCCGGGGCGACCCUGCCUUCGGGCGGGGGCUCCGGGUGGACACUUCAAACUCUUGCGUAACUUUGCAGUCUGAGUAAACUUAAUCAAUAAAUUAAAACUUUUAACAACGGAUCUCUUGGUUCUGGCAUCGAUGAAGAACGCAGCGAAAUGCGAUAAGUAAUGUGAAUUGCAGAAUUCAGUGAAUCAUCGAAUCUUUGAACGCACAUUGCGCCCCCUGGUAUUCCGGGGGGCAUGCCUGUUCGAGCGUCAUUUCACCACUCAAGCCUCGCUUGGUAUUGGGCAUCGCGGUCCGCCGCGUGCCUCAAAUCGACCGGCUGGGUCUUCUGUCCCCUAAGCGUUGUGGAAACUAUUCGCUAAAGGGUGUUCGGGAGGCUACGCCGUAAAACAACCCCAUUUCUAAGGUUGACCUCGGAUCAGGUAGGGAUACCCGCUGAACUUAAGCAUAUCAAUAAGCGGAGGA
rnacentral:rRNA from 1 species